UACGUAGGGUGCAAGCGUUGUCCGGAAUUAUUGGGCGUAAAGAGCUUGUAGGCGGUUUGUCGCGUCUGCUGUGAAAUUUCGGGGCUCAACCCCGAACCUGCAGUGGGUACGGGCGGACUAGAGUGUGGUAGGGGAGACUGGAAUUCCUGGUGUAGCGGUGAAAUGCGCAGAUAUCAGGAGGAACACCGAUGGCGAAGGCAGGUCUCUGGGCCGCUACUGACGCUGAGAAGCGAAAGCAUGGGGAGCAAACAGG
rnacentral:rRNA from 1 species